GUGCCAGCAGCCGCGGUAAUACGAAGGGGGCUAGCGUUGCUCGGAAUCACUGGGCGUAAAGGGCGCGUAGGCGGCUGUUCAAGUCGGGGGUGAAAGCCUGUGGCUCAACCACAGAAUGGCCUUCGAUACUGGACGGCUCGAGACCGGAAGAGGUCAGUGGAACUGCGAGUGUAGAGGUGAAAUUCGUAGAUAUUCGCAAGAACACCAGUGGCGAAGGCGGCUGACUGGUCCGGUUCUGACGCUGAGGCGCGAAAGCGUGGGGAGCAAACAGGAUUAGAAACCCCCGUAGUCC
rnacentral:rRNA from 1 species